rnacentral:rRNA from 1 species
GACGAACGCUGGCGGCGUGCUUAACACAUGCAAGUCGAACGGAAAGGCCCUGCUUUUGUGGGGUGCUCGAGUGGCGAACGGGUGAGUAACACGUGAGUAACCUGCCCUUGACUUCGGGAUAACUUCAGGAAACUGGGGCUAAUACCGGAUAGGAUCUCCUGCUGCAUGGUGGGGGUUGGAAAGUUUCGGCGGUUGGGGAUGGACUCGCGGCUUAUCAGCUUGUUGGUGGGGUAGUGGCUUACCAAGGCUUUGGCGGGUAGCCGGCCUGGGAGGGUGACCGGGGACAUUGGGACUGAGAUACGGCCCAGACUCCAACGGGAGGCAGCAGGGGGGAAUAUUGUACAAUGGGCGGAAGCCGGAUGAAGCAACGCCGGGGGUGGGAUGCCGGUCUGCGGGUUGUAAACCGCUGUCGCCUGUGACGAAGCGUGAGUGACGGUAAUGGGUAAAGAAGCACCGGCUAACUACGUG